AUUCAGAUGUUGUCUCAUAAGUGUUAUCUCAUUGCAGAAAUUCACUACUACGAUCCACGAUUUUCCAGACUUCUCACAUUCUGCGAAUUGCCCAGGAUCUGAAAAUUGGCUAGACAAAAGAUUAAAAAUAGCAGCCUAUACAACCACAGAGGUGCAGAAGGAGGAAUAAAGGCCUAUUACCCUUAUGUCUCAAAUCUGCGCAUGAUUCUGCAAAGCAAGGCAAGCACUGAAAGGCUGAACUUCUGUGAGCUCUGCUGGACAGAGGCAUCUUCUUGGUGUGUGGAGGAAGGGCACAGUGGAUUUGGUUCAAAGCAAUCUGAUACUUCAGAAGGCAGUGAAUACAUCUAGCCCUGUGGAAGACCCAUGAUGAGAGAUUUGAGGAUGACACAUAACUUGAAAAGUACUCCUCACAUCAAAAGGAAACUCAAGCAAAAAAAGAGAUUUUUGAGAACAGAAAGGAAAAUCAAUUCUUUAGGAUAUUUUGGCAGUUUUGAUGAAGAUACAUUGAUGGUCAUUCAAUAGACUGCAGCGUGCCCAAGAGGUUCAAGGUUAAAUAUUUCCCCAUAGUGAAGAAUAAUUCUUAUAAGGUCCAGGGUCAGAUCUGAUCAAUAUACAAUCAUAAAAUCCCCACCUGCACUUUGAAGACUGUAAAACGAUGAUUGUGUGUCAAAGGAAACAUUUUAAAUACAAAGUAGUCAUGCGUAAGAAUCUCGGAUAUAAAGUCUAUGAACUGCAGCGGACUAUUGUGCUAACAUAAUAAUUCAAAUACUGACAAGAACACAGAUGGAACCAAAGAGUAAUUUUUCAUUACUACAAAUAGGAUUCCUUCUGCAUAACCAAAGAAUAUGAACUGAAGAAGUCUAGAAAGGUCCUUUCAUGAUGCACAUGACUAGAGUUUUAGAGUGCCAAGAAGACUACAUCCUCUGCGGCAGCUUCCAGCUCAAUUUCCUGAGCAUCUAUUGGAACUCAUCUUUGGGCCCUUUUUAUAAGCUACCAAUGCAUGUGAUAGCUGACCUA